GAUAAACGCUGGCGGCGUGCCUAAUACAUGCAAGUCGAACGAGGGAAGGCAAGCUUGCUUGCCGGAACGAGUGGCGAACGGGUGAGUAAUACAUAAGCAACCUGCCUGUAAGGACCGGGAUAAUGCCUGGAAACGGGUACUAAAACCGGAUAGGCAUAGAUGGGGCAUCCCAUUUAUGUUAAAGGUGAGAGACACAAACAGAUGGGCUUAUGGCGCAUUAGCCAGUUGGUGAGGUAACGGCCCACCAAAGCGAUGAUGCGUAGCCGGCCUGAGAGGGUGAACGGCCACAUUGGGACUGAGACACGGCCCAGACUCC
rnacentral:rRNA from 1 species